GCUAAUGUGCCAUACGUCGCAAGAUGAAAGCAGCAAUGCGCUCGAGGAUGAGCCCGCGCCCGAUUAGCUAGUUGGUGGGGUAAAAGCCCACCAAGGCACCGAUCGGUAGCUGGUCUGAGAGGACGAUCAGCCACAAUGGGACUGAGACACGGCCCAUACUCCUACGGGAGGCAGCAGUGGGGAAUUUUACACAAUGGGCGAAAGCCUGAUGUAGCGACACCGCGUGAGCGAAGAAGCCCUUCGGGGUGUAAAGCUCUGUCAGCAGGGACGAAUAAAUGACGGUACCUGCAGAGGAAGCAUCGGCUAACUACGUGCCAGCAGCCGCGGUAAGACGUAGGAUGCAAGCGUUGUCCGGAUUUAUUGGGCGUAAAGAGUUCGUAGGCGGUUCGUUAAGUCUGGUGUUAAAUACUGGGGCCCAACCCUGGGAUCGCACUGGAUACUGGCGAACUCGAGUGCAGUAGAGGCAAGCGGAAUUCCCAGUGUAGCGGUGAAAUGCGUAGAUAU
rnacentral:rRNA from 1 species